ensembl:lncRNA
AGACUUUUUUUUUUUUGCAUGAAAUCCAUCUCUAAGAAAAUACGCACUUGGAAGCUGUUGCCAACAAUAAGCUUGCCCAGUUGGAAGGAGCCCGUUGGCAGAGUUGGCACCGAUCGGCUUUAAUCCUUUCUCAGGCACUGAGGCAAUGCAUGCAAGAGUGUACCUGUCGGGAGUUGCCAGGGCCCUGACCACAACAUGCUGGCCAUCCUUGCCUCGGCUUCUUGUGCUGCUAAACCAAGGAACUCUUCUAGUGACUUAAACCAACCAUCACAGAUAUCAAUCUGCUUGGAAAUGAGAGAUGUCUGACAUCAGCUCUGUGGAAGUUGCACAGUGGGAAAGUCCUGGCCUUGGAGUCUCAUGGUUCCCCUAACCAUCAUUCGAAAACACAGGCCCGUUCCCUGUUCUUCUGGAAACUUGAGCUCCUUAGCUUCAAAGCAAUGACCUUGAGAGUGUCCUAGGGCAGAAAAAUAUAACAAGACCCAAAAUGCAUUUCUUUAGCCUAUGUAAGGAAGCUGUUUCCUAACAUUGGGGCACUAAAAAGCCCAAAUAAAGGUAUUAUUUACCUUCAUAAAUUUUACUUAAUUACGAUGAUGAUACUAGAGUAGGCUUUUAUUCUCUCUUGUUAGUGGAGAGGACGCCACUGUGUCUCCUUUGUACUUUGGUAAUGCUGAGGCUUCCAUGUUUGCUUUCCGUGUGCUUCUCAGAAUGUGUGCAUAAUCGAAUUGGAUAAGAAGGCAUGUCAUGUGGUUUUUACAA